AGCUUUGCGCAGUGGCAGUAUCGUAGCCUAUGAGGUUUUAUCCGAGCCGCGAUUAUUGCUAGUUGUAAUACAGCUAAAGAGUCAAUAAGCCAAAGUAAGACUGAUAUAAGAAUC
rnacentral:snRNA from 1 species